AAGCAUAUAAAAUGGAGUUUUCGGACAAAGUUUUAUAUGACUUAGUGGCGGACGGGUGAGUAACGCGUGAGUAACCUGCCUUACACAGGGGGAUAACAGUCAGAAAUGACUGCUAAUACCGCAUAAGCGCACAGGGCCGCAUGGUCUGGUGUGAAAAGUAAUUCGGUGUAAGAUGGACUCGCGUCUGAUUAGCUAGUUGGUGAGGUAACGGCUCACCAAGGCGACGAUCAGUAGCCGACUUGAGAGAGUGAUCGGCCACAUUGGGACUGAGACACGGCCCAAACUCCUACGGGAGGCAGCAGUGGGGAAUAUUGCACAAUGGGGGAAACCCUGAUGCAGCGACGCCGCGUGAGCGAUGAAGUAUUUCGGUAUGUAAAGCUCUAUCAGCAAGGAAGAUAAUGACGGUACUUGACUAAGAAGCCCCGGCUAACUACGUGCCAGCAGCCGCGGUAAUACGUAGGGGGCAAGCGUUAUCCGGAUUUACUGGGUGUAAAGGGAGCGUAGACGGUCAGGCAAGUCUGAUGUGAAAGCCCGGGGCUCAACCCCGGAAUUGCAUUGGAAACUGCUUGACUAGAGUGCAGGAGAGGUAAGUGGAAUUCCUAGUGUAGCGGUGAAAUGCGUAGAUAUUAGGAGGAACACCAGUGGCGAAGGCGGCUUACUGGACUGUAACUGACGUUGAGGCUCGAAAGCGUGGGGAGCAAACAGGAUUAGAUACCCUGGUAGUCCACGCUGUAAACGAUGAAUACUAGUGGUCGGGGAGCGAUAGCUCUUUGGUGCCGCAGCUAACGCAAUAAGUAUUCCACCUGGGGAGUACGUUCGCAAGAAUGAAACUCAAAGGAAUUGACGGGGACCCCGCACAGCGGUGGAG
rnacentral:rRNA from 1 species